CGUAGGUGAACCUGCGGAAGGAUCAUUCAUAAUAAAGUGUUUUAUGGCACUUUUUAAAAAUCCAUAUCCACCUUGUGUGCAAUGUUAGAUCUCGUCAAUCUUGGCGAGAUUUUUAUACAUCAACUCAUUUUUUAACUAAUUUGUCUGAAAAAUAUUAUGAAUACUUAAUUCAAAAUACAACUUUCAACAACGGAUCUCUUGGCUCUC
rnacentral:misc_RNA from 1 species